rnacentral:rRNA from 1 species
UACAGAGGAGCCAAGCGUUGUCCGGAUUGACUGGGCGUAAAGCGCACGCAGGCGGAUGCGCGCGUGGGGUGUGAAAUCUGGCCGCUUAACGGCCAGGCGCCAUCCCAUACGGCGGUGUCUGGAGGGCUGCAGAGGUCGAUGGAAUUGCCGGUGUAGUGGUGAAAUGCGUAGAGAUCGGCAGGAACACCCAGGGGGAACAGCGACUGGGCAGCAC